rnacentral:rRNA from 1 species
GACGAACGCUGGCGGCGUGCUUAACACAUGCAAGUCGAACGGAAAGGCCCUGCUUUUGUGGGGUGCUCGAGUGGCGAACGGGUGAGUAACACGUGAGUAACCUGCCCUUGACUUUGGGAUAACUUCAGGAAACUGGGGCUAAUACCGGAUAGGAGCUCCUGAUGCAUGGUGGGGGUUGGAAAGUUUCGGCGGUUGGGGAUGGACUCGCGGCUUAUCAGCUUGUUGGUGGGGUAGUGGCUGACCAAGGCUUUGACGGGUAGCCGGCCUGAGAGGGUGACCGGCCACAUUGGUACUGAGAUACGGCCCAGAAUCCUACGGGAGGCAGCAGUGGGGAAUCUUGCACAAUGGGCGGAAGCCUGAUGCAGCAACGCCGCGUGCGGGAUGACGGCCUUCGGGUUGUAAACCGCUUUCGCCGGUGACGAAGCGUGAGUGACGGUAAUGGGUAAAGAAGCACCGGCUAACUACGUG